AGGUCCCUUCCAAAAGGACCCCAGUUAAUUUCCCAGCUGGGUCUUUACCUUGAAAACAGGUCUGUUCCUCUUUAUUUUAUUGUUUGCAAGGAAAAGCUAGAAUUAAUAUUUUGAACAGCACUGGAGUAAUGACUUGGCAAAGCAUAUCUUUAUCUGGUAAAAAAAAAAGUAUUUUAUACGAGUAUGAAAACCCUUAGAUAUUCAUAGAACUGUACGUACAAAGUUGAUUUAUUUCUUAAGACUUCACUGUUUCCAUGGCAAAAGUUGUUUAAUGAGAACUGAUGAUAAAAGUAAACUGGGGAGGUGGAGGUUUGACUUCGAUGCUGAAUGACCUCUUCUUUUCCUAGUACUGUGUUACAAAGGCACUUACUCAGAAGGUUUGCUAUUGGUUAAAACAGGUGCAUAUGCAGUAUCAGAGACCAUGUUUAGGUCCCAUUAAGAAAGGGAGAAAGCAUAAAGAAAUGCAGCCAGUGCAUUUCUGGGAAAACCAAUUCCUGUCUCAAACAUCUUGUGCAUGAUCUGGCCUCAGUCAAGACUGAUAAUGGAAGUGAUACCAUUGGGAGGUAAUGAAUAGGGUGCAGAACAACACCUGUUCCCUCAUACGAAGAGUUUGGAAGGGAUCCACAACUUAGGAAAGGACAGGAAAAUGAAAACUGAUGCAAAAAAAUGGGGAGUGCAGAGGAAUGCAAAUUUACAAGGGGAAAAAAGCAUCAGUGAGAUGAAGUGACACUGAGAAUAACACCACCAUUUAAGAAGCCUCAGGGAACUGUAGGGGUUUUUUUAACCAUUAUAACCAACCACUUGUUACACCUUCAGAAAUUUUGAAAACCUUCCUCUUAAAAUGAAAGAUAUCACUGAAAUGCAUUACAGUACUGAUCUGUGCAGCUAGCUGGAUGGGCACAGUGAUCCUCCACAUAAUGCAAGCAUUUCUUACUAAUUUAUCUUCCACAGGUUCCUCAGCUCUACAAUCUCCUGAUUCCUAGAGUCUCCUCCUGCCUGCUGAGCUCUCUGAAGGCUGGUCCUUCAUCAACUCAUCAUCUUCAGAAGGCUGAAACCUCUAGAUUUCUUGAUUUAAAAAAAAAGAUUACACAGAAUUCAUUUCUUUAGCAAUGUUUCAGGUGUCUUCACUUGCACUGCCUCAUAACCACGUACCCAAAUCCCAUACACCUAGUCCAAUGCCCUCCCAGACACUGAAGGAGGAUAACUUCCUUCCUUCUCUAAUACACGGUCCAUUGGGAUGGCUGCUUGUUCUUCACGUUCAAAAAAACAGUUCAUGGGCUCAUAGGUAGGUCAUCACUGUUGUCUGCAUGCUGCUGGGUGUGGGUGAGAAAGGAUCAGCUUUCCAUGGGAACGCAAAGCAGUUCAUGCCAUGUUUGCAAAGUAGCCAGUUGAGAUGUCCAUACAUGUGGGAGCCUUUUGGUGACACCUGUGGAGGAUGGCUGAGUGGUCCACGUGUUUUCUGAGAGCUUACUCUUACUUCUGAAGUUGCUCUGAGAAGCCAGCGAGGGUCAGGGGGAGGGAAAGGUUCCUGCUGAAGUGAAUGCUAGUGAUCUAGGUUCCUGCAGUGGCUUCCAUUUUGGCAGCCCCUCAGCUUCCUCUGUGGGAUGGUUUGGUGUCACUGAUACCUCAGGGAUUUCUUUUGGUGUGUUUUUUUUAAAUGGCUAAGAAGUAUUGUGUUUUGUGGUCACCCAUUUCAGAAUAUUAAGGCCUCCUGAACCCCUCUUCCCCAAAGACAGGUUGGUUACAGUACAGCUGAAAGGGCCUCCCGGAUGCUUCUGCAAGAGAUGGGGGCAAAGUGGACCCCCUAGAUGGAAGGGCGAGGGGGAGGCCUAGAAGGGGGAGGGGCUCGGU